GUAGGUGGCAAGCGUUGUCCGGAAUUAUUGGGCGUAAAGCGCGCGCAGGCGGUUCUUUAAGUCUGAUGUGAAAGCCCACGGGCUCAACCGUGGAGGGUCAUUGGAAACUGGAGAACUUGAGUACAGAAGAGGAAAGCGGAAUCCACGUGUAGCGGUGAAAUGCGUAGAGAUGUGGAGGAACACCAGUGGCGAAGGCGGCUUUCUGGUCUGUAACUGACGCUGAGGCGCGAAAGCGUGGGGAGCAAACAGGAUUAGAUACCCUGGUAGUCCACGCCGUAAACGAUGAGUGCUAAGUGUUAGGGGGUUUCCGCCCCUUAGUGCUGCAGCUAACGCAUUAAGCACUCCGCCUGGGGAGUACGGCCGCAAGGCUG
rnacentral:rRNA from 1 species